AAUGAAUGAAUGAACAGGGCUUCACCUCAGGCCUUCCCUUAAGUUCUGAACUUCUGGGAGUUCAGGAAUGUAGAUAGGGAAGCUAAGGAAGCCAUCCUGGUCUGCCUCGCAUCUCCAUCACUGCUGCCCCCUUCUGCCUUCUGGCCCUGCUGCUGCCCCGUCUCAGUUUGGGAGUCCCCAUGUCCACAGCUGAGUCUGUCAAUCAAGCCUAUAACCUGGCGCUCGACAUGCAGAGGCACACUUCCACCCUGCUGCAGACUUAUCUCCAGCACCAAGGCAGUCCCUUUAGUGAUCCCGACUUCUGAAUCUCUGAACUCUCGCUCAGAACUCUGCCUCCAAACCACAUGCACUUAGAGAUCUGGCAUGCCCUGGAAGAUGAAGUACGUCUGAGCCUCACCCA